rnacentral:rRNA from 1 species
GACGAACGCUGGCGGCGUGCUUAACACAUGCAAGUCGAACGAAGAGCGAUGGAAGCUUGCUUCUAUCAAUCUUAGUGGCGAACGGGUGAGUAACGCGUAAUCAACCUGCCCUUCAGAGGGGGACAACAGUUGGAAACGACUGCUAAUACCGCAUACGAUCUAAUCUCGGCAUCGAGGAUAGAUGAAAGGUGGCCUCUACAUGUAAGCUAUCACUGAAGGAGGGGAUUGCGUCUGAUUAGCUAGUUGGAGGGGUAACGGCCCACCAAGGCGAUGGUCAGUAGCCGGUCUGAGAGGAUGAACGGCCACAUUGGGACUGAGACACGGCCCAGACUCCUACGGGAGGCAGCAGUGGGGAAUCUUCCGCAAUGGACGAAAGUCUGACGGAGCAACGCCGCGUGAGUGAUGACGGCCUUCGGGUUGUAAAGCUCUGUUAAUCGGGACGAAAGGCCUUCUUGCGAAUAGUGAGAAGGAUUGACGGUACCGGAAUAGAAAGCCACGGCUAACUACGUG